rnacentral:rRNA from 1 species
AGAGCGAACGCUGGCGGCAGGCCUAACACAUGCAAGUCGAGCGCCCCGCAAGGGGAGCGGCAGACGGGAGAGUAACACGUGGGAACGUACCCUUCAGUUCGGAACAACCCAGGGAAACUUGGGCUAAUACCGAAUACGUCCGUAAGGAGAAAGAUUUAUCGCUGAAGGAUAGGCCCGCGUCUGAUUAGCUUGUUGGUGAGGUAACGGCUCACCAAGGCUACGAUCAGUAGCUGGUCUGAGAGGAUGAUCAGCCUCACUGGGACUGAGACACGGCCCAGACUCCUACGGGAGGCAGCAGUGGGGAAUAUUGGACAAUGGGCGCAAGCCUGAUCCAGCCAUGCCGCGUGGAUGAUGAAGGCCUUAGGGUUGUAAAGUCCUUUCGACGGGGAAGAUAAUGACGGUACCCGUAGAAGAGCCCCGGCUAACUUCGCGCCAGCAGCCGC